CCAGACCAAGGGCUAUAAAGUAACGGCUGAAACCGAAUAAUACUGGACCUGCAUCACGUGAUGCAGGUCACUCACGACGCCCAAUCACAAUGUAGCAGUUUGCGCGCCAACUGUGGUGGAGCCAAGUGCAUCGGUGGACGGACGGUUAUUGUUUGAAAUUGAGCAGCCAGACUACAACAAUUCAACAUGUCUCUGCUGGACCUACCAACAUUUGGACUGUUCUAUUUCCCAGACGGGUCGGUUAGAGUAGAACAUACAUCUAUCAUAAAGGAUGUAAACAGGGCUGCAAAAGUUACAGUUACCUGCAGGGAAGACCUCGAUUUGGAGCAAGGCUGGAUAGAGGUGAUUUGGCCUGCCAAACGUCGACCGCAAAAGGGGUCGAAGCCAGUUGCAGCCAAAUUGCUGUUCGUAGGAGAAGUCUACCAAGAAGUGGUUCAAAAGCGGGAUGCUUUCAUCCGAGGGUAGCCGAGUCCCAGAAAAGAGGCAGCAGAAGAAAGACAUGUACAGUCAAAAAUGUGAAGGAGGCUGUACAAAAAACAAACCAAGGAAAGGCAUCUGGUUCACAGAUGGUAACUGCCAUGGGCGAACAGCUCAAUAGAUCCCUACAGGCUGAGAGAACCUCCAAGCCCUCAGAAGAGGUGACAUCUGAAUCACCUCAACACUCUUCAGAUUCUGA